CGCCAUCAUCAAGAGAAGGGCUGGCGCCCUCGCCAACCUGCCAGACCGGGCAAGGUGGUUUCCGCAACAGGGAUGCGGUCGGGUUUUCCUCAAGGAACUCUCCGGCAAUGAAGCGGUACUCU
rnacentral:ncRNA from 2 species